rnacentral:rRNA from 1 species
GUGCAAAGGUAGCAUAAUCAUUAGUCUCUUAAUUGGUGACUUGUAUGAAGGAUUGGAUGAGAUAUAAGCUGUCUUGAUAAUAUUUAAUUGAAUUUAAUUUUUUAUUUAAAAAGUUAAAAUAAUUUAAAAAGACGAGAAGACCCUAUAGAGUUUUAUAUUAAAUUAAAUUAAAAUUAUUUAUAUAAUUAUUAAUAUAGAUUUAAUUUUAGUAUUUUGUUGGGGUGACAAAAAAAUAAAUAAAACUUUUUUUAUUAUUUACAUAAAUAAAUGAAUUUUUGAUCCAAUUUUAUUGAUUAAAAGAAAAAAUUACCUUAGGGAUAACAGCGUAAUUUUUUUU